rnacentral:rRNA from 1 species
GCAUAUCAAUAAGCGGAGGAAAAGAAACCAACAGGGAUUGCCCUAGUAACGGCGAGUGAAGCGGCAACAGCUCAAAUUUGAAAUCUGGCGUCUUUGGCGUCCGAGUUGUAAUUUGCAGAGGGCGCUUUGGCAUUGGCAGCGGUCCAAGUUCCUUGGAACAGGACGUCACAGAGGGUGAGAAUCCCGUACGUGGUCGCUAGCCUUUACCGUGUAAAGCCCCUUCGACGAGUCGAGUUGUUUGGGAAUGCAGCUCUAAAUGGGAGGUAAAUUUCUUCUAAAGCUAAAUACUGGCCAGAGACCGAUAGCGCACAAGUAGAGUGAUCGAAAGAUGAAAAGCACUUUGGAAAGAGAGUUAAAAAGCACGUGAAAUUGUUGAAAGGGAAGCGCUUGCAGCCAGACUUGCCUGUAGUUGCUCAUCCGGGUUUCUACCCGGUGCACUCUUCUAUAGGCAGGCCAGCAUCAGUUUGGGCGGUUGGAUAAAGGUCUCUGUCAUGUACCUCUCUUCGGGGAGAACUUAUAGGGGAGACGACAUGCAACCAGCCCGGACUGAGGUCCGCGCAUCUGCUAGGAUGCUGGCGUAAUGGCUGUAAGCGGCCCGUCUUGAAACACGGACC